rnacentral:rRNA from 1 species
GUCUAUGGCUAUGCCACCCUGAACAAGCCUGAUGUCUGAUCUUGGAAGCUAAGCAGGGUUGGGCCUGGUUUGUACUUAGAUGGGAGACCACCUAGGAAGACCAGGUGCUAUAGACA